UGAAUGGGCAGUGAUUUUACCGAGAGGGUAACGAAGGCGUUACGCGCUGGGAAGGAGCUUGUGUACUCGUAGUCAAAGGGAAACCACUCUGCUCUCUAUAUGAAUUAAUUGCCCUUGACAGGAAAAGGUCACGGUCAUUGUGAUGGAAUGCAAAAACACUGCUCGUGUUACAACAGAAAUACACAAAAAAGUUCAGAUAUAUCAAUCGUGGGAGGGAUACAGACAAGUACCGGAUUCCAGAGCCACGAUGUGACAGACAAUGACGAGCGACUGAUGUUUCCAGUACAGUUGACAGCCGGUAUCAUGUCCGGCGAUCUCGGGAUAUUGUACAAGAUUUUUCAGUUCAGUGAUUUAUUAAUAAAGUCGUUAUUGAACCU